ACUCCUACGGGAGGCAGCAGUGGGGAAUAUUGGACAAUGGGCGAAAGCCUGAUCCAGCCAUGCCGCGUGAGUGAUGAAGGCCCUAGGGUUGUAAAGCUCUUUCACCGGUGAAGAUAAUGACGGUAACCGGAGAAGAAGCCCCGGCUAACUUCGUGCCAGCAGCCGCGGUAAUACGAAGGGGGCUAGCGUUGUUCGGAUUUACUGGGCGUAAAGCGCACGUAGGCGGACUAUUAAGUCAGGGGUGAAAUCCCGGGGCUCAACCCCGGAACUGCCUUUGAUACUGGUAGUCUUGAGUUCGAGAGAGGUGAGUGGAAUUCCGAGUGUAGAGGUGAAAUUCGUAGAUAUUCGGAGGAACACCAGUGGCGAAGGCGGCUCACUGGCUCGAUACUGACGCUGAGGUGCGAAAGCGUGGGGAGCAAACAGGAUUAGAUACCCUUGUAGUCCCA
rnacentral:rRNA from 1 species